GACGAACGCUGGCGGCGUGCCUAAUACAUGCAAGUCGAACGCAGGGGGGACGGGUGAGUAACACGUGGGUAACCUCCCAUCAGAGGGGAUAACACUUGGAAACUGGUGCUAAACCGAUACUGAUGGAUGAACCCGCGGAGCAUUAGCUAGUUGGUGAGGUAACGGCUCACCAAGGCCACGAUGCAUAGUCGACCGGAGAGGGUGAUCGGCCACACUGGGAAUGAUACACGGCCCAGAAUCCUACGGUAGGCAGCAGUAGGGAAUCUUCGGCAAUGGACGAAAGGCUGACCGAGCAACGCCGCGUGGAUGAAGAAGGUUUUCGGAUCGUAAAACUCUGUUGUUAGAGAAGCGGUAUCUAACCAGAAAGCCACGGCUAACUACGUGCCAGCCGCCGCGGGAAUUC
rnacentral:rRNA from 1 species